rnacentral:tRNA from 1 species
UGGAGAUUAGCUCAGUGGUAGAGUGCUUGCCUAGCAUGUAUGAGGGCCUAGGUUCACUUCCUAGAGCACUGA